CUACCCCUACCCCCAAACCUAAUCCCAACCCUACCCCUAACCCUACCACACCAGAGGGGUAGAGUUAGGGGUAGGGUUGGGGUUAGGUUUGGGGGUAGAGUGGGGUUG